rnacentral:rRNA from 1 species
AUGAACGCUGGCGGCGUGCCUAAUCCCUGCAAGUCGAGCGAACGGACGAGAAGCUUGCUUCUCUGAUGUUAGCGGCGGACGGGCGAGUAACACGUGGAUAACCUACCUAUAAGACUGGGAUAACUUCGGGAAACCGUAGCUAAUACCGGAUAAUAUUUUGAACCGCAUGGUUCAAAAGUGAAAGACGGUCUUGCUGUCACUUAUAGAUGGAUCCGCGCUGCAUUAGCUAGUUGGUAAGGUAACGGCUUACCAAGGCAACGAUGCAUAGCCGACCUGAGAGGGUGAUCGGCCACACUGGAACUGAGACACGGUCCAGACUCCUACGGGAGGCAGCAGUAGGGAAUCUUCCGCAAUGGGCGAAAGCCUGACGGAGCAACGCCGCGUGAGUGAUGAAGGUCUUCGGAUCGUAAAACUCUGUUAUUAGGGAAGAACAUAUGUGUAAGUAACUGGGCACAUCUUGACGGUACCUAAUCAGAAAGCCACGGCUAACUACGUG